GAUGAAGAACGUAGCGAAAUGCGAUAAGUAAUGUGAAUUGCAGAAUUCAGUGAAUCAUCGAAUCUUUGAACGCACAUUGCGCCCGCCAGUAUUCUGGCGGGCAUGCCUGUUCGAGCGUCAUUUCAACCAUCAAGCCCUGCUUGCGUUGGGGUCCUGCGGCUGCCCGCAGGCCCUGAAAACCAGUGGCGGGCUCGCUAGUCACACCGAGCGCAGUAAUACAUCUCGCUUUGGGCGUGCGGCGGGUUCUUGCCGUUAAACACCCCCUUUUUACCAAGGUUGACCCCGGAUCAGGUAGGAAUACCCGCUGAACUUAAGCAUAUCAAUAAGCGGAGGA
rnacentral:misc_RNA from 1 species